CGAAGUAGCAAUACUUAGUGGCAGACGGGUGAGUAACAUGUGGGUAUCUUCCCUUUGGUGAGGAAUAACACGAGGAAACUUGUGCUAAUACCUCAUAAGUCUUUACGGAGAAAGCUUUAUGCGCCAAUGGAUGAGCCCGCACUUGAUUAGUUUGUUGGUGGGGUAAUGGCCUACCAAGACUUUGAUCAAUAGCUGAUCUGAGAGGAUGAUCAGCCACAUUGGGACUGAGACACGGCCCAAACUCCUACGGGAGGCAGCAGUAGGGAAUAUUGCACAAUGGAGGAAACUCUGAUGCAGCGAUGCCGCGUGAGUGAAGAAGGCCUUUGGGUUGUAAAGCUCUUUCGUCGGGGAAGAAAAUGACGGUACCCGAAUAAGAAGGUCCGGCUAACUUCGUGCCAGCAGCCGCGGUAAUACGAAGGGACCUAGCGUAGUUCGGAAUUACUGGGCUUAAAGAGUUCGUAGGUGGUUAAAAAAGUUGGUUGUGAAAUCCCGAAGCUUAACUUCGGAACUGCAAUCAAAACUUUUUAGCUAGAGUAUGAUAGAGGAAAGCAGAAUUUCUAGUGUAGAGGUGAAAUUCGUAGAUAUUAGAAAGAAUACCAAUUGCGAAGGCAGCUUUCUGGAUCAUUACUGACGCUGAGGAACGAAAGCAUGGGUAGCGAAGAGGAUUAGAUACCCUCGUAGUCCAUGCCGUAAACGAUGUGUGUUAGACGUUGGAAAUUUAUUUUCAGUGUCGCAGCGAAAGCAGUAAACACACCGCCUGGGGAGUACGACCGCAAGGUUAAAACUCAAAUGAAUUGACGGGGACCCGCACAAGUAGUGGAGCAUGUGGUUUAAUUCGAAGAUACGCGCAGAACCCUUACCAACACUUGA
rnacentral:rRNA from 1 species